CCGAACGUCUGUUUGUCUUCAGGUAUGUGAAUGCUGCGGUGGAGAGCUGUUGAUUCGAGUGGAGUCCCACCGCGGGGAUCUCGAAGAACCAGUGUGUCCCAUAGUGAUAAGGUGCCUGUGGAUAUCAGCCCAAUCUAAAGAGGAUAAUGUGGGUUUCUAGUGUGGAUCCUAUCUGAAGACUGUUCGAAAUGUGUGAGAGCAAAAAUACAGCUGACUUGACACUUCAGAGACCACAGACUAGCUGCAAACUUUGUUUGGUUUCACGAGUGACAGACGGAGAUUACAAAGGAAGAGAGUAUUAACUCUGCCAAGAAUGGAGGGAACAAAGGGAAGUCCGUGAGAGGAAGCACUGGAGAGGAAACGUCUUCCGAUCCUCUUUAAUUAGAGCGCCAGAGUCUCAGAUACGAUCUGCAAACAUAACAAGAUCGGAGACAUUCACUUGUUCCUUGAUCCACCGCAGGUGACCCUGAAAUGGAAAACGCUGAAGUGCUACAGAGCUGGUUACCCACAUUUGACUCAUUCACCUUGAACAAGGCUUACAAUGUUUCUACGGUGAAAACGCACGAGUCUGCUAUUGCCUGUGACCUCGGUAAUGGAAGCCAGUGCCUUUUCACUUCACUAUGUCAAAGGAAUGAUGCAGAUACAGAAAAUGAGAGUGAAAUUACCCUGGAGGAGCAUUUAUGCUGACAGCAAACUCUCACUUUUGAGGUAUCAGGUUUUCAUCUGAGGUCUGCUCAUAUAUGCAGUCGGCGAUGACAUCAUGACACCGGUCCUUAGACGAGAUGGAGAUCUUAUUUGUCCUCAUAAAACUAACUUUCAAAGCCUUAUCUGGGUUUCCAACUAGAAAAUUAUGACCAAGACGUGAUGGUCACGACUGGAAAAUUGAGUGCGUCUGUGGGAAAAAGGGUUGCCAGAUGAAUUACGUGUCCAGCGGUCAUGAGCUCCUGGUUGGAAAAGAAAAGCAAAGACAACCCUGAGAGCGAUGUAGAGUACCUAUUUUCAUGCAUAAUUGAUGCCUUAUCAGUGUCUCCGUCCCCAAUGUACCACCCUUUCUGAUAAGCCUGACAGCUUAGAUGUGCCCAUAGCCACACACCAGCUGCUCGGCCAGGCCUGAGAUGGAUCAGAUGUUCGACAUUGCACUCCGAUUACCACACCGGUACUGUCCGCGCAUGUGUAUGUGUGUGCGGCUGUGAAUUGCAUUUGUCUGGACAAGUUCAGAUGCAGUGAAGCAGAGUUAGAUGAGGUCUGCUGACUUGAUUCACUUUGAUAGGCAAAGCUAGCUUUUGCAGCGUAAAAGACACAAAGUCAUUUCACAGUUGUUUGACGAAACAUCAGCUGUAGAAAAAUGAAGCAGUAAUGAGGAAUGUUCAGACGUAAAGUUGAUAUGCCUGCGCCUUUGUCUGCUUUGAAUUAGGGGAAGGAAAUAACAGCAUGCCAGGUAUCUACGGUUUAGGUAUCUAGUUAAUUGCCGUGUGUGAUCAUUUGAAGUCUCUCUUUUGGCCGUGCCUGACUUACUAUCAGAAAUAACACAAAUUUUAAUUGCCCUCGCUGUGUCGGUUAAAAUUGUGUCAAUGUCAGAAACUUAAAUCAAGCAGUUAGAACAUAAAAAUUGAGCAUUUUGUGAACAUUUUAUUGAUAAUUAAUAUGGCUUAUUGUUAGUAAGAAAUGUAUUUUUGUUGAUGAUUUAUUAUCUU